rnacentral:rRNA from 1 species
AUUGAACGCUGGCGGCAUGCCUUACACAUGCAAGUCGAACGGUAACAGGUCUUCGGAUGCUGACGAGUGGCGAACGGGUGAGUAAUAUAUCGGAACGUGCCCAGUAGUGGGGGAUAGCCCGGCGAAAGCCGGAUUAAUACCGCAUACGACCUGAGGGUGAAAGGGGGGGAUUCGGAAGAACACCUCGCUAUUGGAGCGGCCGGUAUCAGAUUAGGUAGUUGGUGGGGUAAAGGCCUACCAAGCCUGCGAGAUGUAGUUGGUCUGAGAGGACGACCAUCCACACUGGAACUGAGACACGGGCCAGACUCCUACGGGAGGGAGCAGUGGGGAAGUUUGGACAAUGGGCGCAAGCCUGAUCCAGCAAUUCCGCGUGCAGGAUGAAGGCCCUCGGGUUGUAAACUGCUUUUGUACAGAACGAAAAGGUUUCUACUAAUACUAGGAGCUCAUGACGGUACUGUAAGAAUAAGCACCGGCUAACUACGUGCCAGCAGCCGCAGUAAGAC